AUGGUCUCCAGGCUCCUCUGCUGGGUGGUCGCAUGCCUCCUGGGGGCAGGUUCAGUGGCUCCUGGAGUCACACAGAGCCCAAGACAUCUGAUCAGACUACGGGGACAGAAGGUGACAAUGCACUGCUCCCCUAUCUCUGGGCACAUCUACGUGUACUGGUACCAGCAGGCCCAUGGUCAGGGUCCCCAGUUCCUCUUUCGAUAUUACAGUGGGGAUGAACAAGAGAAAGGUGACAUCUCAGACCGGUUCUCAGGCCGACAGUUCGCUAACUACAGCUCGGAGCUGAACCUGAGCGCCCUGGAGCCGGGGGACACAGCCACGUUCCUCUGUGCCAGCAGCAAGGCCACAGCCCUGCAGGGCCCCCAGCGCCCGGUGCACAAACCUCCUGCCCGGCUCAGGAAGUGA